GUAGCUGCGUCGCGUGUGUAACGUGCGACGCUCCUCCCCACCCCGCCCUGCCGCCCCGCCCGGUGUCUCGCGCGCGGGUGCGGCCCCUCUGUGGGCGUUCUGCCGACUGAAAGGCUCGGCAAGAAUCAGAACGAGAGAGUGAGCGAGCAAAAUAAAUGUCUAGUGACCACUUGAGAAAGUCCUCUCUUCCAUUGAGCCAUUUCACUCCUGCCCAUCUACUCUCAACAGCCCAAGAGCCACUGAACACUCUAAACUCUGUGAGGAUCAGAUGAAACAAGAAGCCAUCUUUAGGAUCUAGAAGAGAACCAGGCUCAGAGGGCAAGCCAACAUGCUUAGGAUGGAAGAGUAGAAAGUUAUAAAGAAGGUUCCUGUUGACAUCAGUGAAUUACUAAGUGAACUCACCGUGAAGCUACUCUAGCUCUGGACUUCCUGCUUCAUGAUAUAAUAAAAGUCAUUAUUUAAGCCAAUUUAAGUUUGCCUUCUUUAUUUCCAACAGACACACUAAUCAAAACCAUGUAAAAUCACUUUAUUAUAAUUCUCAUUUCUUUGUGUUCUUUGAGCAUAGUUGUCAGAAUUAGCUAAUGUCUGAAAAUUGCUCAUGGGAUCAGGCACAGCAUUGUCCUUGUCUCUUGUGUUUUCACUUGACGAUUUCCACUAUUUCAAUAUUUGUAAGUAUUUAAACUUAUGUUAACCAGCGACAUUUCUUCAUCCUUGAGUUAGCAUUUUAGGUACAAUUUUACAAAUAUUAAAUAAUAAAAUUUAUCUCAUCAGAUUUCUUUUUGUGCUGCAGUUUCUUUUUCCCCUACUAAGCUCCUUGGAUACAAUCAUUUUUUAGCACAGCUCACCUAAGAAUAUCAACUUGAAUGGGGAUUACCUCAGUGAGCACAAGGAAUGAGGUAACCUUUUGUUACAUUAGCAUGACCAUCUCCUUUGAGCUGAUUGAUGUACUGUUUUUCUAAUGUAAUUUCUCAAUUAGAUUUCUUAAAAUUAAAUUUUCUCUUU